UACGUAGGGGGCAAGCGUUGUCCGGAUUUAUUGGGCGUAAAGAGCGUGUAGGCGGCCAAGCAGGUCCGCUGUGAAAACUCGAGGCUCAACCUCGAGACGUCGGUGGAAACCGUUUGGCUAGAGUCCGGAAGAGGAGAGUGGAAUUCCCGGUGUAGCGGUGAAAUGCGCAGAUAUCAGUAGGAACACCAAUGGCGAAGGCAGCUUGCUGGGCAUUUUCUGACGCUAAGGCACGAAAGCGUGGGGAGCGAACAGG
rnacentral:rRNA from 1 species